rnacentral:rRNA from 1 species
AACGUAGGUCCCGAGCGUUGUUCGGAUUCACUGGGUGUAAAGGGCGCGUAGGUGGUUGUCUGUGUCUCAUGUGAAAACUCAGGGCUCAACUCUGAGAUUGCGUGGGAAACUAGGCAGCUAGAGGACGGUAGAGGGGAGUGGAAUUCCCGGUGUAGCGGUAAAAUGCGUAGAUAUCGGGAGGAACACCGGUGGCGAAGGCGGCUCUCUGGGCCGAUCCUGACGCUGAGGCGCGAAAGCUAGGGGAGCGAACCGGAUUAGAUACCCGCGUAGUCC